GGACCCCACUGCUAUCGGGGUGGGACUAAAACAUGCAAGUCGAGCGCCUCCAAGCUAUGGUGAAGGCGCGGCAAACGGCUCAGUAACACGUGGCCAACCUACCCUUGGGACGGAGACAACCCCGGGAAACUGGGGCUAAUCCCCGAUAGGUGAGGAAUCCUGGAAUGGAUCCUCGCCCAAAAGACGUUGAAUCCAUGCUAUUCAGCGUCGCCCAAGGAUGGAGCCGCGACCGAUCAGGUAGUUGGUGAGGCAACGGCUCACCAAGCCUAUAACCGGUACGGGCCGUGAGAGCGGGAGCCCGGAGAUGGGCACUGAGACAAGGGCCCAGGCCCUACGGGGCGCAGCAGUUGCGAAAACUCCGCAAUGCGCGAAAGCGUGACGGGGCUACCCCGAGUGCCGCCCGUUGAGGGCGGCUUUUCCACGGUGUAAGGAGCCGUGGGAAUAAGGAGAGGGCAAGACUGGUGUCAGCCGCCGCGGUAAUACCAGCUCUCCGAGUGGUGGGGACGAUUAUUGGGCUUAAAGCGUUCGUAGCCGGCUUAACAAGUCUUCCGUUAAAUCCAACGAUCUAAUCGUUGGGCUGCGGGAGAUACUGUUGGGCUAGGAGGCGGGAGAAGCCGACGGUAUUCUCGGGGUAGGGGUGAAAUCCUGUAAUCCCGGGAGGACCACCAGUGGCGAANGCGGUCGGCUAGAACGCGCUCGACGGUGAGGGACGAAAGCUGGGGGA
rnacentral:rRNA from 1 species